rnacentral:rRNA from 1 species
GAUGAACGCUGGCGGCGUGCCUAAUACAUGCAAGUCGAACGCAUUGAGAGAAGUGCUUGCACCUUUCAAUUUGAGUGGCGAACGGGUGAGUAACACGUGGGCAACCUACCUGAUAGCGGGGGAUAACGAGUGGAAACAUUCGCUAAUACCGCAUAACAAUAGAGAAGGCAUCUUCUUUAUUUACAAGGCGCUUUCAAGCGUCACUAUCAGAUGGGCCCGCGGUGCAUUAGUUAGUUGGUGGGGUGAAGGCCUACCAAGACGAUGGUGCAUAGCCGAGUUGAGAGACUGAUCGGCCACAUUGGGACUGAGACACGGCCCAAACUCCUACGGGAGGCUGCAGUAGGGAAUCUUCCACAAUGGACGAAAGUCUGAUGGAGCAACGCCGCGUGUGUGAUGAAGGCUUUCGGGUCGUAAAGCACUGUUGUAUGGGAAGAAAUGCUAGGCUAGGAAAUGAGCUUAGUUUGACGGUACCAUACCAGAAAGGGACGGCUAAAUACGUGCCAGCCGCCGCCGUAA